GACGAACGCUGGCGGCGUGCUUAACACAUGCAAGUCGAACGGUAAGGCCCUUCGGGGUACACGAGUGGCGAACGGGUGAGUAACACGUGGGUGAUCUGCCCUGCACUUCGGGAUAAGCCUGGGAAACUGGGUCUAAUACCGGAUAGGACUCCGGACUGCAUGGUCUGGGGUGGAAAGCUUUUGCGGUGUGGGAUGGGCCCGCGGCCUAUCAGCUUUUUGGGGGGGUGAUGGCCUACCAAGGGGACGACGGGUAGCCGGCCUGAGGGGGUGACCGGCCACACUGGGACGGGGAUACGGCCCAGACUCCUACGGGAGGCAGCAGUGGGGAAUAUUGCACAAUGGGCGCAAGCCUGAUGCAGCGACGCCGCGUGAUUAAUGAAGUCCCUCUGGGACGUAAAGAUCUUUUAUGAGGGAGAAAGUUUAUUGAUAGUACCUCAUGAAUAAGGGGUUGCUAAACUCGUGCCAGCAGCCGCCGCCG
rnacentral:rRNA from 1 species